rnacentral:rRNA from 1 species
UACGAAGGGUGCAAACGUUGCUCGGAAUUAUUGGGCGUAAAGCGCACGUAGGCGGCUCUGUAAGUUGGAUGUGAAAUCCCUCGGCUCAACCAAGGAAGUGCAUCCAAAACUACAGAGCUUGAGUACUUAAGAGGAUCGCGGAAUUCCCGGUGUAGAGGUGAAAUUCGUAGAUAUCGGGAGGAACACCAGUGGCGAAGGCGGCGAUGUGGGAAGAUACUGACGCUGAGGUGCGAAAGCGUGGGGAGCAAACAGG